GUCGGGAAGAACUGACGGGCAGGCUGGAAGGCGCCAUAGCCAAGAUGGAGGAGGUGCUUGCCGCCCAUGAACAGGGCAAGCAUAUCAAGCAGGGGCUGGAUGUCGUGAUCGUGGGCAAGCCCAAUGUUGGGAAAUCCAGCAUAUUCAAUCGGCUGG
rnacentral:rRNA from 1 species